UAACCACUCGGGGAAGGCAAAACCAGAGAGAGCAGUGUCGGUGGAUAUGAGUCGAGCCAUUUCCAUGUAUAAUGGAAAAUUGGUGCCUGUUGGAUCAGGAAUUUGCCGUAAAUGUAGAUCUGUUGUCUAUGAACAAAUUUCCAACUUAAAUUUAGAAGAUAUUCCUUGUGAUGCUUCAGAGCCUGAGUGUAUAUCUGAAAACGGAGAAAAAAACAAUGGAUUGUCACAAGUUUCAAACAGCACAGCUUGCGCAAGUAAUAACUGCAGGG